CCAUGAGACAGCAUGGAAGACUAGUGGGAAACUGAGCUCCAUGCCUCAGUUUGCUGUUGUUUAAUUGACUCAAAGACUGAACAAACUACACUGUAAUGGUACUGAAUGCAGUCCAGCAGCGAUGUUGACCACCGCAAAAUGGCGACACCGUUGACGUGCCUGGCUGGACCCAGACACAGCAUCUAGAACUCGGCACACCUGCACACCUGAACGUCCUCCUCCCAAACGUAAAGAUUUGUAGCAGC